AGAAAUUAAUGUCAAAAAUUGUAUGUGUGAUUAAUGUGAUACUAAUAUGUGCAGUGCUAAUAUAACAGGGUAUAAACUUCAAAACUUUAUUUACCUCAAUAUAUACUAGAAACUGAAAAAAUAACAUAAAUUAGUCCGUUAGCCUAAAAAUUCAACUCUCGGCAACGUUGACGCAAUUCUUGGCAGGCAUGGACUCAAUCAUUUGCACCCUAGUCAUAUUACGAGGAAGUGGUAAAGGAAUCAGAUUAAACAAAACUUUAAUAGUAUCACUAAGAACCCUGCCUUCUAUAGCGCGAUCUGCGCUUAUCACUCACGCGAGAACUCAGGCGUGGACAAACAGAAGCGGAAUGGGCCACCGUCGACCCCAAAAUCGGUGCUACAGAAGAGUUUUACUUUAUUUGAAUCGGAAAAUUUAAGAAUGCUGAUUCAUCCAAAUUUCAAUCAUUUCAAUCAGCGAACAUACAACCAUCCUGAAUGCAGUAUAACUUUAUGAAAUUUCAAGCAUGUUUUCAUCAAAAACGUCAAGUUGUGAAAAAAAUGAUCAUCGAGUGUCAAGCACGAAAGCAUUUCACGUGGAACAUCUAAAAGGAAAACUUCAUUGUCACUAUCUACCAUGUUCCUUUCAUAGACGUCUCUUACCCUGCAUGUUCAAAAUAUCGGCGAGAGGUUUAAAUUAGUCACGAAAAUUUAUUUUAAUUAAAAACACCAAAAACAUGACACUGAUUGGCACUUG